UACGUAGGGGGCAAGCGUCGUCCGGAUUCAUUGGGCGUAAAGGGUGCGUAGGCGGCGCGGUAAGUCGGGUGUGAAAUCUCGGAGCUUAACUCCGAAACUGCAUUCGAUACUGCCGUGCUUGAGGACUGGAGAGGAGACUGGAAUUUACGGUGUAGCGGUGAAAUGCGUAGAUAUCGUAAGGAAGACCAGUGGCGAAGGCGGGUCUCUGGACAGUUCCUGACGCUGAGGCACGAAGGUCAGGGGAGCAAACGGG
rnacentral:rRNA from 1 species